UGAGGAAUAUUGCACAAUGGGCGCAAGCCUGAUGCAGCAACGCCGCGUGCGGGACGAAGGCCUUCGGGUCGUAAACCGCUUUUCUGGGGGAAGAGCAAGGACGGUACCUCAGGAAUAAGUCUCGGCUAACUACGUGCCAGCAGCCGCGGUAAAACGUAGGAGGCGAGCGUUAUCCGGAUUUACUGGGCGUAAAGCGCACGCAGGCGGCUCUGUUAGUCGGACGUGAAAGCUCUCGGCUUAACCGGGAGAGGCCGUUCGAUACUGCGGAGCUUGAGGUAGGGAGAGGAAUGCGGAAUUCCCGGUGUAGUGGUGGAAUGCGUAGAUAUCGGGAGGAACACCUGUGGCGAAAGCGGCAUUCCGGCCCUCACCUGACGCUGAGGUGCGAAAGCGUGGGUAGCAAACA
rnacentral:rRNA from 1 species